GACGUAGGAUGCAAGCGUUAUCCGGAAUUAUUGGGCGUAAAGCGUUUGUAGGUGGCUUGUUAAGUUGGAUGUUAAAUCUUUGAGCUCAACUCAAAGUUGGUGUCCAAAACUGGCAAGCUAGAGACAGGUAGAGGUAGGUAGAAUUCUGUAUGUAGGGGUAAUAUCCGUAGAUAUACAGAGGAAUACCAAAAGCGAAGGCAGCCUACUGGACCUGUUCUGACACUCAAAAACGAAAGCGUGGGUAGCAAACGGG
rnacentral:rRNA from 1 species